rnacentral:rRNA from 1 species
UACGUAUGGUGCAAGCGUUAUCCGGAUUUACUGGGUGUAAAGGGAGCGCAGGCGGCACGGCAAGCCUGAUGUGAAAGCCCGCGGCCCGACCCCGGGACUGCUCUUGGAACUGCAUGGCUGGAGUACAGGAGGGGCAGGCGGAAUUCCUAGUGUAGCGGUGAAAUGCGUAGAUAUUAGGAGGAACACCGGUGGCGAAGGCGGCCUGCUGGACUGUGACUGACGUUGAGGCCCGAAGGCGUGGGGAGCAAACAGG